ACUCAAAUGAAUUGACGGGGGCCCGCACAAGCGGUGGAGCAUGUGGUUUAAUUCGACGCAACGCGAAGAACCUUACCAGGGCUUGACAUCCUCUGAACUCUUUGGAAACAAGGAGGUGCCCUUCGGGGAGCAGAGAGACAGGUGGUGCAUGGUUGUCGUCAGCUCGUGUCGUGAGAUGUUGGGUUAAGUCCCGCAACGAGCGCAACCCCUGUGUUUAGUUGCUAACGCGUAGAGGCGAGCACUCUAGACAGACUGCCGGUGAUAAACCGGAGGAAGGUGGGGAUGACGUCAAAUCAUCAUGCCCCUUAUGUUCUGGGCUACACACGUGCUACAAUGGCCAGUACAGACGGAAGCGAAGCCGCGAGGUGGAGCAAAUCCGAGAAAGCUGGUCUCAGUUCGGAUUGCAGGCUGCAACUCGCCUGCAUGAAGUCGGAAUCGCUAGUAAUCGCAGGUCAGCAUACUGCGGUGAAUACGUUCCCGGGCCUUGCACACACCGCCCGU
rnacentral:rRNA from 1 species